rnacentral:rRNA from 1 species
UACGUAGGGGCUAGCGUUAUCCGGAUUUACUGGGCGUAAAGGGUGCGUAGAUGGUUUCUUAAGUCAGGAGUGAAAGGCUACGGCUUAACCGUAGUAAGCUCUUGAAACUGGGAAACUUGAGUGCAGGAGAGGAAAGUGGAAUUCCUAGUGUAGCGGUGAAAUGCGUAGAUAUUAGGAGGAACACCAGUAGCGAAGGCGGCUUUCUGGACUGUAACUGACACUGAGGCACGAAAGCGUGGGGAGCAAACAGGAUUAGAUACCCUGGUAGUCCCUGAGCGGG